UGCCAUUUCUUUGUAGGGUCCAUAAGCAAGUGGAAACCAAGUCUAAAAGAGACCAAGCUGAAAGUAGAAAAUGAUCUUGAAGUUGAAGUAAAAUAUAUAGGAGUUGUCAAGUUGUCUUUAGAGUCUGGUUUUGAAAUUUUUUUUGAAAAAUAUUUUUUAUGUACCUUCUUUUAGAAAAAUUUAAUUUCUGUUUCCUCUUUACAUAUACAGACUUGG
rnacentral:lncRNA from 1 species